UACGGAGGGUGCAAGCGUUAUCCGGAUUUACUGGGUUUAAAGGGUGUGUAGGCGGGCUUGUAAGUCAGGGGUGAAAUCCUACAGCUUAACUGUAGAACUGCCUUUGAUACUAUGAGUCUUGAAUAUUGUUGAGGUGGGCGGAAUACAUCAUGUAGCGGUGAAAUGCUUAGAUAUGAUGUAGAACACCGAUUGCGAAGGCAGCUCACUAAGCAAAUAUUGACGCUGAGGCACGAAAGCGUGGGGAUCAAACAGG
rnacentral:rRNA from 1 species